rnacentral:rRNA from 1 species
UGGGGAAUUUUGGACAAUGGGCGCAAGCCUGAUCCAGCCAUGCCGCGUGCGGGAAGAAGGCCUUCGGGUUGUAAACCGCUUUUGUCAGGGAAGAAGUCUUCUGAGUUAAUACCUCGGGAGGAUGACGGUACCUGAAGAAUAAGCACCGGCUAACUACGUGCCAGCAGCCGCGGUAAUACGUAGGGUGUAAGCGUUAAUCGGAAUUACUGGGCGUAAAGCGUGCGCAGGCGGUUUUGUAAGACAGAGGUGAAAUCCCCGGGCUCAACCUGGGAACUGCCUUUGUGACUGCAAGGCUUGAGUGCGGCAGAGGGGGAUGGAAUUCCGCGUGUAGCAGUGAAAUGCGUAGAUAUGCGGAGGAACACCGAUGGCGAAGGCAAUCCCCUGGGCCUGCACUGACGCUCAUGCACGAAAGCGUGGGGAGCAAACAGGAUUAGAUACCCUGGUAGUCCACGCCCUAAACGAUGUCAACUGGUUGUUGGGAAGGUUCCUUCUCAGUAACGUAGCUAACGCGUGAAGUUGA